AUAUCUGGAGGGAUGAAGUGGGAUUGCAUUUUCUGUGGAGGAGCAUAGGGAGGAAUUGUAAUUGAACCAUCCUUCAAACACACAUGAUUUCUUUGUCCAAAAGUUUGAACUAAAGUUGAACGCUGGAGCAACGGAAGAAUUCCCCUCCCAAUAGCUUUUUCCUCUUGAUAAUGAAAACAAGCAGCAAAAUCGUGUGGGACAAUGAAGAAGUGAUCAGCACCCUCUGUCCUAUUCCAAUAAGGCCAGUUAGAAGCAAUAAGUUGUAUUGCGCUCCUCAUCAUUCGUGGUGACUUGAAGGGUAAAGGAAGGCCAUUAGGUGUCAGGUCACAAGUGGUGUAAACAGGGGUGUAGAACCAAUCAGCUUCCUCAGGAUUA
rnacentral:misc_RNA from 1 species